CGAUAUGAGUCGUAAACACCAUGUUUUCUACAUUUCGCAAUGUCUUUAUCAGCCAUAGUUUAAAUGCAUUACAUAUAAAAACACAUUUAGAAGAUGUGCUCAUUUAAAAAUAAACAUCCUAUAAGAAUAACGGAAUGGACUUGAUCGUAACAUAACUUAAGGAAUAUAUUAAAAGCAAAAAUGGAUGAUUCUGGGACAAGUAGCCGCUGUGACACUGGAAUAAGCAGCACAAGCGAUACAGGUUGUAGCAGCACAUGCGAUGCGGGCUUUAGCAGUACAUGCGACACAGGGUUUAGCAACAACUGUGACAGUGGAAAAAUGGGUGGUUUUAACGACACCGCAUUCAGCUAUGACAAUUUCACCGAGAAUACUUAUGCAAACGCUAACCUUCAGGAUUCUUUUAUGCACGCGACAUUUCCCGCCACUUACGGAUAUAUGGACACUUACUCCGUUUCCUCGGGCCUUCCCCCUCCGUUCUUAGUCCAACAUCACUCGGUGCGCCGUCCUGGAGACUCGAGCGUGUACAUCGGUCGCCCCAUGGUGAUACCGACACCAACACAACAACACAAGAUGAUGCAAAGGGAUAGCAAACGAAGAAAAUGCAUCGGGUGUUUGGUGCUAUUGCUGGUCCUUGCAGGGGUCAUCACAGCAAUUACCUUGACGUUGAAAUAUGCUAAAAAAUUGUAAAGCUCCAAAGUUCAGCGCAAAUGAGACGAGUCUCAAGGCAAAACACAGAUACCGGUCGUCAAAGAAUGCAAGACAAUAUGCGAGACUCUGAGAAGCGUCAUUCGACAUUGAGAUGUGUGCAGCUUGUGGUUGGCGUUGACAUACCGUACAUUACAUUGCAAUACACCAAUUCGUGUGGUUGGCGUUGACAUACCGUACAUGUACAUUGCAAUACACCAAAAUUCGUGUGUUUUGCGUUCACAUACCGUACAUGUACAUUGCAAUACACCAAUUCGUGUGAUUGGCGUUGACAUACCGUACAUGUAUAUUGUAAUACACCAUUUCGUGUGGUUGGCGUUAGCAUACCGUACAUGUACAUUGCAAUACACCAAUUCGUGUGGUUGGCGUUGACAUACAGUACAUGUACAUUGCAAUACAUCAGUUCGUGUGGUUGGCGUUGGCAUACCGUACAUGUACAUUGCAAUAUACCAAUUCGUGUGGUUGGCGUUGACAUAAUAUACAUUUACAUUGCAAUACACCAAUUCGUGUGGUUGGCGUUGACACACCGUACAUGUACAUUGCAAUACACCAAUUCGUGUCGAUGCAAAGACAUAAGGAGCGAAGUAUUCUGGCUUGGGGCCAUCACUGCAAUCUCCGCUAUAGUGUCCAGAAAAGUUGCCGAUAGCAACAGGCGAAUCUCUUUCAGCACAAAUGUUAAAAAAACGCAACAAACGACGAAAGUCGUCUACGAAUGGAAGACAGAAUGCAAGACUUUGAGAACCGUCGGUCGAGCGUUAUGCCAUGGUGAAAACCAUAAAGGAGCUGUCUUAGACUUGACACAGUAUAUUUAGUGAUUUCCAAAGUAGACAAAAAUCUUAAAAGGGCUUUAACUCACAAUAAAAGACUAGUCCAAAAAAGCUGGAUAUUGCAGAUAUAGUUUAAUAUUCGACCUAAUUUUCGUGAUUAUACGGGCAAAAGCACGCCGCGUAGCGGAGUGCGUUGACCGCUUAUUGUAUCGGUUAUUUGACAUACAAUACACAUAUAUUGAUCAGACUCAAAAUAUUUCUGCCCGCGUCAAAUAUUUUCGCGAUGCAAAUCAUGGGCCACUUAGCUACAUAGACACUCCGACAAAUGCUAUAUCAACUAUAUAUGCAUACCUCAAGACCAAAUACGCCAGGAAAGUCAUUGUUUUGAAGCGCAUUGUUCUCUAUCUUCUUGCGUUAUAUGUUUUUCAACGCCAAAACACGCGUUUUUGGCUCUCAAUUGAUUUGCUUCCUGUUUGCUGUUUCCCGGCCUUAAGGGAAUAAGCCAUAGUCCCAGACUGGUUUUCCAUAAUUCGCGAUAACUUUUUCCAAAUACAAUUUUGGUAAAUAUAACCCAUCUGAAUGUUACAUACAAAGGAGCAAAUGUAGAAGUCGUGUCUUUUUAUAAGUAUUUAGGUGCGUACUUUACACCGAAGUUAUCAUGGACAA